rnacentral:lncRNA from 10 species
CUGCAGAGGAAGGGGGCCCUCAUGUGUCUUCUGGAUCAAGCCAGACAGCCAGGAGAUAGAGGAGAAGGAGGUACUAGAAACAGAACCUGGGACCAGCACCAAGGACCCCAGAGGCACCUCUGCAGGCAGGAGGCCCGAGCUUAGACGCGAGAGGUCCAUCAAGUCAGUCCCUGAGAAGGACCGUACCACUUCAGAAGCCCAGACAGAGGUUCCUCUGGAUGACCCUGACAGGGCAGGAUGGCCAGCAGGAAAGGACAGCAUCCAAUACGGCAGGGUAACCACCAGCUUCACCCACCCCUCCCCACCCACUGCUGCCACCUCCAGGGGCCCAAGUCUUCCCACCAAAUGUAGCACUUGGCAGUGAUACUCACCUUUCUUGAGCACCUACUAUGUGCCAGUAGCAUUCUAGAUGUUCAUUUUCUUAAUCCUCACAACCACCCUAAAAAAUAGAUAUGAUAGGUCUAUUUCAGACAUAA